CCCUACGGGGCGCAGCAGGCCGGAGUUCAGCGGCUUGCGAAUGAAAUCAUGGGCGCCCGCGCGCAACCCCUCCAACUCGUCUUCGAGUUCAGUCUUGCCGGUAAUGAGAAUAGUGUAAAUAAAUAAGUCUUCGCGUUGCGCAAUACGCCGGCAUAGUUCCGGUCCGCUGAUAUCGGGCAUCAUCCAAUCCAGUAACGCCAGCUCCGGAGCGUCGCUGUCUAAGAUAUCCUGCGCGGCAGCGCCCGAAUCGCACACUAUUACCUCGUAACCCCAGCGCCUCAGCAGGCGUUCAAGCAGCCUGCGGUCGGUCGGUUCGUCAUCGGCUAUUAGUACUCGAAUCUUUCCUGGAUUAUCCUCCGCGGUGGUCGUCGUCCUUGGCGGGGGGGC
rnacentral:rRNA from 1 species